rnacentral:rRNA from 1 species
GAUUGACUACUAAAACAACUUUUAGCAAUGGAUCUCUUGGUUCUCGCAUCGAUGAAGAGCGUAGCAAAUUGCGAUAAUUAGUGCGAAUUGCAGACUUUGUGAAUCAUCGAGUU